rnacentral:lncRNA from 1 species
ACAAAACUCGCAAAUUUCCCUUGUUUCCCAACUAUUAUAAUCGACAUUCACCACUUUCCCAGUGUCCUGCUAUGAGACGUAGCAGCUUCUUAUUGUAGAACCUGUAAGGGAGGCCCAGUAGUCUCAUCCAUACGACGAUCUUUGAAUGGUGUUUCUCCUUCGUAGGGAAGUCAGAGCUUCAAGGCUGAAUCGUAAGAUAGUUACCAUAGACUACUCAAGGCCCUUCUAUCAAAGCUUUGGUAUAAUCCUGGUACACAUCAAACUUUAGAAGGUACUAGUUAUUAUCGAUAUCAAUAACUUGGAACAAACCCACAUGCUUCCAAAGAAUUUAAAUUCUGUUGAGUAGUGAUUUGUAACCGAUUGAACAUCCUAGUAGCCUCACCACCACCUUCUGCUUCAUGUUUCUAUCCUGUAUUUCUUGUACUCAAUCGGAGAAGAAAAUCUAUGGAUAAUGGUUAUCCAAAGAGACUUUGACACCCCCUUCCAAAAUCUCAAAAUCGCCAUUUUCUAACCCUUCAUCUACACCACCAACGAAGCCUCCAACAUUCGUCAUUAGCUGAUCUUUGAAUGACACUUUUGCCAAGCCAAUGUCCUCCAUGGAUAGCUCUUCUGGAGGAGACUCCCCUGAAAUC